UUAAAUUGAAGAGUUUGAUCAUGGCUCAGAUUGAACGCUGGCGGCAGGCCUAACACAUGCAAGUCGAACGGUAACAGGAAGCAGCUUGCUGCUUCGCUGACGAGUGGCGGACGGGUGAGUAAUGUCUGGGAAACUGCCUGAUGGAGGGGGAUAACUACUGGAAACGGUGGCUAAUACCGCAUAACGUCGCAAGACCAAAGAGGGG
rnacentral:rRNA from 1 species